GAGACUCCACCCCCGAAGACCCCUCGCAGGAGCACAGUGACCCCGCCUCCACAGGGUCCGCUCCGCCACCCUGACCCUUCCGUGUCGCUCGCGGGACCCCACCCCUGUCCGCCUGCUCCGGUGCCCAUGGGGAAGCCUGGUGCCAGGGGUCACCAGUCAGUCCAACUCACCGCCCGACUGGUGGGACAAGGACAGGUCAGCGGGUCACAGGCCGGAAGUGAGGCUCGCCCGGCCGCUCUAGGACGCGGGAAGACCGAGGCCUCGGUGGUUCCCCCUCUCUCCCGCCUGUCUCCCUCAGGAGAAGGAGCGGCUAAGGGAGGACCCGACACCGCGGUUGUACCCGCCUUCUUUUCUGGCCCGGAGUACGGCCUGGGAUCUCCAGGGGUGGAGACUGAAUGAGUGCUGUCGAGGACCGGCGAGAGUCUGGAAAGUUCGCGCCUUCGUAGGAGAACGAGGAGAAUGUAAAUCAUCCCGCACAGAAAAGGAUGCGAUUCACGAAGAAAGAGUUCUGUCUCCUCUCUGGGCACAGCUCUCUCCUUCCUGGAAGACAGCGGCCCUGGACAGGAUGGGGACCCCCGACAGGUUCCAGCCCGGAGGAAGGCGCUGCAACUGGGGGAUGCGGUGGAGACAGAGAACCUUGAUGGAUUUUAUUCUUGUGAGAAGCCCGCUUUUCUACCCAAACCUCAUGCCAGUUGGUGACGCGAAGUCAACUUGGGCAUUGAUCCAGCCCACCCAGCCCUCCAUGGUCCCCAGACCGUCCCACCUUCCCGUCCCGUAGCCCACCAGCACCCCGCCCCGCCCUGCCGCCGAGCGCCCACACAGCCUCCCCUCCGUGCCCCCAGCCCACCAGCCCCCUACCCCUCCCACAGCGCCUUGCCCCACAGCGCCUCACAAGGCCUCGACCUCGGGUCCCUCAGCCCCACAGCCCCUGACAGCGCCAGGCUCCACCCCACAAUACCCCACAGCGCCCCACAGCCUCCCACCUCCGCCUCAAGGCCCCAACCUAUGACCCUCCACAUUGCCCCACCCACAGCACCCCCACACCGGCCCGCCCCCAGGUGCCCCACACCACCCCACCCCACAGCUCCCCAGAGUGCCCCUUCCCAUAGCCCCCCACACCACCCCGCCCCGCAGCGCCCGCCCCAAGGCCCCGCCAACGGCCCCGCCCCACUGCCCUGCCCCACCCAUCCCCCACACCGCCCUGCCCUACAACACACCACCCCGCAUCCUCCAUAGCGCCCCCAACUUCAGUUCCCACACCACCCUGCCCCACAGCGCCCCUCACCGCCCCAUCUCCCAGGGCUUACAGUCCCCACCCCCUGCAUCGCCCAGCGCCUAAGAGGCUGGGCUCUGGGUACCUCCCAAGAGACGAGAGGUGUGUCCCGCGCCUUGUGCAGUGAGAAGCCCUGGAACUCCAGGACCCUGCUUUUUUAGGCAGAAUGCUAUGGAUGGGCCACUCCAAAGAGAAACACGGCUGGGGUCUUCUCACUGGGGUUGCAGGCCGUAGGAUGGUGUGAACACUCCAUGUUUAUUCAUAUCUUGGACCCCCCAAUCCCCCCAAGGGAGGGGUGGCCUUCUCUUUGCAAGAAGGCUUCUGAGUCCUUAGAGGCGAAGCUGUGUCCUCAUUCCACUCCCCACUGAUACCCAAGCCAACAAGGAGAUGCCCUGACCCACUCAUGGCCAAGGACACCAAUGGAAAAGGCCUUCGUCCUCUCAGUACAGACUGUGCCAGGUAGGCCAGGAAAAGCCAAGAAAAUGUAGAUUCAACAGAUAGGUUCCUAGCAAAAUACUAAAGCUGAGCCAAAGUAGAAAACUUGAAUUAACUAAUUGCCAAAAAAAGAGAUUAGAGAGGUGAUUAAAAAGCUACCAUUAAGAAAGCUCCAGAUGGCUCCAGAUCACAUCUGAGCUCUCACCAACCUUUAGAGAUCAGAUAAUUUGAAAGUUAAUUACAAUCUUCCAAGCCACAGAAAAAGAUUAAAAACCUCAAUUCACU